GAGGUUAUAGCUCAGUGGUAAAGCUCAUGCUUGCUUAGCAUGCAUAAGGUCCUGGGUUCCAUACCCAGUACCUCCA
rnacentral:tRNA from 1 species